rnacentral:tRNA from 1 species
CGGGGCGUAGCGCAGUUUGGUAGCGUGCUUGGUUCGGGACCAAGAGGUCGCGUGUUCGAAUCACGUCGCCCCGA